GCCAGUUAGUGCGCAUGCGUCAAUGUGUACGUCCAGUUGAAUGGAACGGGGACGAGGGGUGGCUCGAGGGAGGGGUGGCGCGGGGCAUUGUGGGGAGUUGUCAUUCGCAGCGGCACUUUUGAAUGACUUUUGAAUCACAGGUGGUUCCUAGAAGGGACAUAGCUGCACGGGUGGUCGAUAGCCCUUGUAUUUGAAAUGCAUUUUUAAGACCCCCGUGCAGCUAAGUUUGCGGCUGAAGCGAAAUAGAAUUUUAAAAGUUCGUGCUCUUGACGAGAUCGCGGCACUGCGAUUGGCGUUUGACUGAAAAUUCAGCUGUCACUCAGCAGCCGACAGGUUAAAAGGAAAGAAAUUGUAUAUAAAACAACAAAGGCUUGCUCACAGUCUCAUACAUGGAGCCAAACCUGAGUACAGCAUUGGAUGCUGCUUGGACGGGAAAAUGGAGAAGAUAGCAAAUGACGCCUUGGAAAGCACAAAGAAGAGAUGGACAAUGUUGAAAUGGAUAACAGCAAUAGGUCACGGAGGAUGAAGAUUCUGAAGAGGAAGCCAUAUUCGUCUAAAAAUGGGCAAGUGUGCUGAUCGUCAUCCGAAAGUCAAGAGCAUGGAAAAGAUGGACAGAGAAGCUGGCGGUGAUCCGGGAGGUGUGGGGUAUUGGGGUUCAGACAGCCUUCCCUAUGUACACAAUCCUGGCCACGAUGUAGCAGUAGAGGAGCGCCUGCUUCCAUUCAGAGAAUGCUGUCCAUUUAGGCAACAUAUGCUAGUCAAACCAGGUAAAUAUGGGAUCAAACUGUGAGCAGCUUGUGAUCCAUAACCCACCUAUUGCUGGAGGAUCCAAGAUCCAAAGCAAGUCUCUAGGGAAACCAGAAGAAAAGAGCCUCGCAAAGUGUGUAGUGCUGGACCUACGGGAUGGGCUCAGGGGGCACAAGAGCUACACAAAAAAACUCAGCAUGUUGGGCACUGUGUGCCACAGUGGACAGGGGCUGCUCUCUGCCCCGCUCACAAGCAUGGUAUCCUGUUUGGCAAGAAGUCGGAGAUCAGUGGAGGAGUUAGCCUUCAUAACUGCGCGAAUGCAACUCCUCAGACUUUCUCUGCAGCUCGGUGGCUUCCAGAAUGGAGAGGGUGGCAAGAUGAGGCACCCCCCCCCCCCACAGGGCAAAGGAGGGAGAAAAAGGUGCUGCAUGAAUCAAGAAUGGCAUGUUCCAAGUGUGGCCAAUUAGUUUGUAAGCUGUCUUAUGGAAUUAUUUGUAAAAAGAUAAAAGCUUUAUAUACUAUUUGAGGUCAAAAUCUCCCCAAGCAAUAUGAAAGGGGGAAGGGAAUUUUUGAUUAAAGUUGAACCUUUGUGCAUUUUGGGCUAAACGUAUCAAGGACUGUUUUUAUUCUGACGUCUUUUGGUACUCUAAAAAUGUAGUGAUGUUGUUUUGGGUCAAACUGACCGCACAAUCAUUUGAAUAUGAUCUUGCAACAUUUCAUUAAAAUUCCAUGACGAAAAUCCCUUUUGUCAUCUCCAAGUGUUAGAGAAAAGAAAAACAGGACACAAGUCUUUGUUGCAACAUUUUGUAAUAAUAAUCCUGUUACAUUUAUCAGGCAAUAUCUUUGUCAAUAUACAUUUUAUAGAAAAAAAGUAUAUUAUUUGUCUUCUAUGCUGCACAAUCUGUAAAUCAUUUAGAAAAUGAAACAUUUUAAUUCUUCCAGUAGUUUUCCCUCGUUCUACUGUGACUCAAAAGUCUUUAUUAAAUAAAAUGUCUGUUGUAAUA